CUUUCGGCGGUUUAACUUUUGACUCUUAAAGCUGGAAAAUGUGGUCCUCUCUUCUGUGGAUUUCGGGUCCAUCUUUUCUUCAUGAUUCCACCUUCACCAAACUUGUUCAGUUGGGCAUAGCCAAGCCGCUUAUGCAGCCAAGCUAAUGGCUUGACACAAACUCAGAGAUCAGUUGAUCAGGUAAAACUUUUCUUUUUGGAUGAAAUGUUAAAUGUACUUGGGAGUCAUGAAUAUAUACGUAUACAUAUCAUAAAGUCACGUUACAUGCAUUUAUAUAAACCUCAUCUUGCUCUUACCAAAGUCUAGACCAUGAGUUAAGAACCCAACAAGAAAACAUAAGGUCAAAGUUU